UACGUAGGGUGCAAGCGUUGUCCGGAAUUAUUGGGCGUAAAGAGCUCGUAGGCGGCUUGUCGCGUCGUCCGUGAAAACCUGCAGCUCAACUGCAGGCUUGCGGUCGAUACGGGCAGGCUAGAGUUCGGUAGGGGAGACUGGAAUUCCUGGUGUAGCGGUGAAAUGCGCAGAUAUCAGGAGGAACACCCGUAGCGAAGGCGGCACUCUGGGCCGAUACUGACACUGAGGAGCGAAAGCGUGGGGAGCGAACAGG
rnacentral:rRNA from 1 species